GUUCUACUCGGCGUAGCUGCUGCCCCUGCGAGUAUAUGAUAAUUGGCGAUCGGUUAAUCUUUCGACCCGUAAUUUAUCGACACUGGUACUCCAUUUGUCAAUUAUAAAUCAAUAGCGGAGUGAAAAAUCAGUGUCCGCAAGAAAAAACAAAAUAAAAAAGUUGAUGACAAACAAACGAGAAGAAAAAUGAAAACAAAACGAAGACUCGAUCACUUUCCGAUCAAUUAUAUUUAUCCGUUCCCCCUUUUUAUCCGUACCCCAUCCGCGUACGGUGUACCGCGGAGUUUGUACUCGUCUCUCACGCUGUAAGAUAAUUUAUUGCGAUUCGAUUAAUCGAUAGCAGCUCGUAUUAUUACAGUACCUGCAACGUACGCGCGCUUGUAUUAUGCAUGGGUACCCGGUAACCCUGAACUCCGUACAAGAAACUAUAGGUACGUAUGCGAGGGAACAAACUCUACGGUUCGUUGAUGUCUGCCUAACCUACCCUGCAGUAAAACAAAAUGAAAAUCUAAGCAACACGCGGAGAUCCACCUUCGGGAAGCGAUCGUAUAGAGUCCACGAUUUUAUUAAUUAUCUUUUUUCCCACCUUCUUUGCUAUAUCGAGAACCGUCGAAUAGAUUUUCUUCUUUACACACCGUGAGACGUUCUUCGCCUGAACGACCCUCGAGUUCGUGUGUCUUUCGCAUCGAUAUCGUCGAUCUCUUUUUUUCCCCGACGAACGUCGAGAUCCCGACGCCCGAUGAAAAAGCUGUUCUUUACCCGUCGCGUACGUACCGUGUGCUCUCGCGUUUAUACAUCGUUACUUUUUUCCUCUCUCGCCAUCGGCUCCACCUCGACCGGAUACUUCGCCGAACUUCAACCCUUGCGCGGUAACCUCUCAGCUCCCGGCUAACCGUGGUGGCUAAAUUUGUUGUUCGCGUAUCGCGGGGGCUAUAUCGUUCGCCUAGUUUAUCGAAGAUCCUCGAGGGUCGAUCGGGUGUCGAGAAACCGUCGAAUCGAGGGUAAGGGUGUAACGGCGUAAGGGAGAGUCUCGUAAACAUGUAACCAGUAAUCGACGAUAAACGACGGAUCGCGGGUUACGCGUCAACGCCGAAAUUGAUCGAAUCCCCGGGAUAAUUUUCACGCCAAAAACAAGAAUUAAAGUUCGCGGUCUUUGAAACGAAACUUGUCAAAAUUCCCGGAGGCGCGAAGGUUACAAGGAUCGUAGAACGGAAUCAUACGGCGACGAGAAGACGAUCGGUGAUCCGUUGUACAUUUGCGUCCGUUCUCCGUAAGGGUGCAGAUCGUACGAUAAAGCGCGAUCGUUCGGUAAGAACCGUGCGUGCGGCGCAGGAGUCGCGAAUGUAGAGUACGAGACAAGAUCUCAUCCCCUUUAACCGGUGGAUUGAAUUUUUCCCCCAACGUAGGGAGAGAAAGAGAGAGAGGGAGAGAGAGAGAAGAGAAAAAAAAAAGAGAGAAGGAGCGGCGGAGCUCCUGCAGGCAGUAGGUGCUUCCCCCGGGCACUACCGACGUUGCCGCGGGCUGGUAGCGCGCUGGAUACGACAAAACUUUAUCACCGAGUGCGGAGGGUUGCCACGGGCAACUCGAACCGGGAAAACGAACUACGGUUGAAUUUUUAGUGAAAUGAAAUUGUCCUUGUUACGAAGUAAUACCGUACGAGGUGGGUGUGUGUAUGUAUAUACGGCGCAUCGCCGGUGCCCCUCUUUCCCGUCUUGUACGCGGGGGGGGAACCGUAGCGGGCUCCGGGACUCUUCGGUUUUAAUCCCAGGACCAGCGGGACCCGACGUUGCGUACCCAGCUAUUCCCGCCUUCUGGCUCCGCGGUUGAUAUCCCGCUCGCGGGAAAGUCGGAUCGAGCUUUCGAAGACGGAGUCCGGGGCGUCCGGUGGUUUCCAGCCCCGAAAGUCCGGUCUUUGCGAGAAAUCCUUCUUAACGAGAAUCGCGCACCUUCGUCGCAUCGCUUCGUCCUGGAUUCGGAUGGAGAGCGGGAGCAGAGAGAAAGAGACGAAAAAAAGAGAGCUCUAAUUAUACAGGAUAUGGAAAAACUCGAGCUACGCUGUUGCGCGUUAUACGUUCGGACGAAAAAGGGGGUCUACAAUUACUCCCAGAUAAUACCGCCGAAAGCGAUACGUCGAAUCAAGUUCAAUGAAUUUCGCUUCUUUUUUUAUUUUCGAUUUUCAAAAUGAACAUUUGAAAAGAAAGAAGAAGACUCGGAGUCUCGAAAUUUCGGGUCUCGGCGGAUAAGUAGGGGAUAUUCGGGCGGUCGUGGGCCAAGAAGAACGAGGUGAGAAGGAAACGAAGCGAGGGAGAAACCGAGGAGAGAAGAACGCGCGUACGAGUGUUCCCCGCUCCCUUGUCCCUGCCGGCGGUGCUCCAAUUUUACCUACCCUCGAAAUUCGAAGAGGAUAGGAAGCUCCGCGGCGACGCCGCGCGGAGGCAGCCCGGUGUCAAAAUAUUCCAUUGGAUUAGCUUAGGAGCACCGGCAGCAUCCUCCGGAGUCAAAGAACAAGUUCUGCGAUUAAAUUAUGCGACAAAUCAUAAAUUAAUCUACAUAUAAGGGGUACAUAUAUAUAAUCCCCACCCGCGUGUAGGCGUGUACAUAUGUACAUCCUACCUAUAUAUGUACAUGACACACGUGCACUUCCAAGGUAUAUAUAAUAUACACACACACACACCCAUACGUCGGCCCAUAAUCAUUUUGGCACAGUACCCCGUAUAUUUAUUUUACGCAUGCAUUAUUUAUGCGGGACAACUUUAUAUAUCAUAUAGCAAUAUUCUCACCGUGUACAUAUACAAUAAUAUACAUAUGUACACACAUCUCGCGUAGUCAUCGCUGGUUUCAACCUGCUGUACAUAAAGUUAAAGGUGGUGCUACCGAUGCAUGUAUAUAUAUAUAUGAUCUAAUAGACGUGUACGUACGUAUAUCCUAACACAUAGACCUUAUUGCCAGCUACGUGUGCGACGGUAUACGUAUAAAGUUUGACAGCUGUCAAAACACGUAUGCGAUACACGCUUAAAGUUUCGUUUCACAGAGAGAGAGCUCUACCUGACGCGUUAUAUUCGUAUACACGAGAAGCUGGGGCACACGUUUGGUUUCGUGCCCUUCGUCGUCCGGUGCGCGACAGGUAUAACACGUGAGGUGGAGAAACACCAUACUGCAGCGGACGCUGGAAGCUCGAAUCUAGGGGCUACGCGGAGCCUCCAGCCUUUGAGAGUCGACCGGCUCAACCUGUACAACGUAGGGUACAUAAAACGAGGUGUGGACAUAGCGUUCCGCUGUCAGCCGUUGGGUACCGUUUUAAAUUAUAGGGAAUGAUUAAAAUACUUGGAUGGUCCGAGAAAGUUUCACAUCCGCGGUAUACGCGCGUUCCGCAAAUACAAUGUCAUAAUAAUUACAUACGAGUUGGAAGAAGAAGAAAAUAUAUUUUUUUCAAAUUCCAAAAGAAUCGUUCGGCAAUUAUUUGCACCGCAUGUAAGUACUCAAGUUGACUUUUUUCGCCACCGUAUACAUCCAAGGUGUAUAUAACCUGUGUACAUACCUACAUACAAUAUAUACAUGAUAUACAGGGAUAACGUAUCCCGCAUAGAUACAUAAACCGGGGUGUACAUAAUGUGGCAUAAAUAUAUAUAUAUAUACAUAUGUAUGUAUAUACAUAUUCACAUAAACGUACACGUUUGUACGAGAGUACAUCUGUAUAUUACCAUCAACGUAUAUCUGCCGAGGUGUAUAUAUGUAUCAAAUGUAUGUACCUCGAUAAGUACAUAGGUAGGAUAUACCUACGAGUACAUACGCGAAGCCAGGCUGCGACGAGGCGUAGGUAAAGUUGGGUUAGGUUGGAUUCGAGAGGCAAAAGUGGAGGUGGAGGAGACCGGAGGGCGGUGGCUGGAGGCGAGAGACGAGAGGCGAGAGGGAACGACGAACCGGAGGGUAAGGGAAAAUAAUUGUCCAACGAGCUAUUAAACCGUUGAUAAACUAUUGACUUCAGUUCCGGCAGCGGAAAGGAACAAGAAAAUGGAAACAGAAGUCCUAAUGAAACGACAUUGACUAACUCGCCUACGAACGAUCGUAAAGUACUUAGAAAUUCGUUACGAUUACGGAAGAUUAUACGCAGAAAAAAAAACAAACAAACUUGAAUAUAAAGAAGUGCUGCUUUUUUGAAAAAUCGAAAUUUUCGCUCAAAAUUUCUUCGGCUUUUUAACUUCUAAUCAAAAUACCCGAAAGAUCUCCGUUACUGUGCGAACUGUCGCCUACCCACUCGUUGAAAUCUCUUGCCAAAUUUUGUUGAAAAUUGUAAAUAAAUGUCACCGAGAACGGGAUUGAUUAUAAAAAAAAACUUUACGAACAAAUACAUCGAUGAGGCACGAGUUGAGCGUAAAAAAAAUGGUGAAAAUAUUUUGAAAAAACAAAAAAUCGAAAAUUGUUUUCAAUGAAUAGGAAAAAUUUGGAAUCUACCAUUUCCCAAAGAAAGAAACGAACAAAAAAAAAUGAAUUAUAAUGACAAGAUCAAUGGUACGACCUAAUUAAUCUAUGAAAAGUGGAGAAAUUAAAACAAGAAAAAAAAAAAAAAAAGGAAAACGAUGAGCUAGUAUAGUAGUCGUGUGUAAAAGCUAGGUGUACAAAACUGUCCGUGAAGUACGGAAUUCUGACCGAAGAAAAAAAAUCACAAGAACGAAAUGAAAAAGAAAAAAAAAUUCAAAAAUAGAGAAAGAGAGAGAGAAUCGUGAAGAAGGGUGCGGAGAAAGGGAGAUGUUGGGACAAAAUUUGUGCGACCAACGACUCACUGAACUUUUACAUAUUUAGACAAUAAAUAUACCGCGCAUUGAGGUACCGCCACAACGGGCAAAGUGUUGUCCUGUUUACUCCAGUUCGCCCUCUAAACUCUCAUCUCUUCUCUUUCUCAUCGCGUCUCACGUUCCCUCCCUCCCUCCCUCCCUCCCCCGUUCAUCCUACUCUCCCUUUAUUUCUCUCUUUCUCCUCAUCUGCAGGGAGGAGUCUCUCGAUGGCUGCGGCGGGGUCCGCCCGACCGGCCAUCCGCGGACCCCAGGUUCCAAGAACGCAUCUACAUCUCGAAGAACGCAACGGAUUUUUAUAUACAAACGGCUACAUGUGUAUAUAUAUAUACACGCCGAGCCGGGUACACGUACGCGUGCACAUACGCUAUACGUCUUCUUCGACUAGGCGCGGUGAAAAAAGUUUCGCUAUUUUUUUACCAAUUAUGGAACACACAUAGAACGUAGCGUCCCGUGGGAAUAAACGUGGGGGAUAAACUGACGGAAACUAGAUUCUGCAUAACGUACGUACGUACGUACGUACUUCUUCCGACUGUCUAAUUCCCGAUAUUAUUUCAUGCUGCGCACAUACCGCGGACAUGUAGUCGCUAAUACAAAUAUUUCACAUCCGUUGAUAAAUUUGUAAAAUAUCAAGGUGAUCGCGCGAUGUUGUCGACGUUGUUUCAUUACAUUUUAUAUAUUAUUUAUAACCGCGAUAUCCAGGGUCGUGGGUUCAAAAGUCAUCGAUCGGACUGCUCCGAUCAUCGCUAAAAAAAAUUUCCGAAUAACCUGCUCGCGAGAAGCCAACGACCGCGUGCUUCCAAAUUGCAUCACACUAAAAGAAAAUUAAAAAAACAAACAAAAAAAAACAGAACAAAUUAAACCAAACGAAAAAUAGACGAAUGGGCGACAGAAAAUAUUUUUACUCCCAAACAAAUAAGGGGGCGGUAACGUCUGCGUUUCGAUCAUCGCACGGCGAAACGAAGAGGUGAGAAGAUAUCUCUGGGAGCUCGACUCUGAAAAAAAAUUCAACGAUAUAGAGUCGAAUGGGCCGGUCAGUCGUGUCUGUAUGUUAACCGACAGUCGAAGCGAGGUUUGGUUAGUCCAGACCAGGACCUCUCUCGUCGCGGACAUCGCGAAGUGACCGUGACUCUGCAAAAUCCGUUAGGUUUCGUUUCGUCACGUGAGCGCAAUAUCCUCAAAUAUCCUUGAUAACCGUAUCUACAUAUCGCAUAGCUGAUAUGUAGUACAUACGUGAGCAGGUAUAUAUAUAUAUAUAUGUAUGUAAAAAAUCAACGGACACCUCUGCUGUAAUUUUCAUCACUUUGGCCUUUUUUUUGUUGUUAAUCGUUAUAGAACGUGAAAAAUCGAUCAUUGGACCGCGGUAAAAACUGAGGAAAAAACAAAAUUCGAUAAAUCUUCCUACGAACGGUCCUUUGCGUCUGAGGUCGUAAUAAAAAUGCGUGCAGUUUUUGCACAUCGUGAUAGCGUAUUAGAAAUUUCUAUUGAAAAUCAAGGAAUAAUGGGUAUAAGGAGGAUCGAGGCAGGAGAGUACCUAACGUUGCCAUGACGACUUCUCUGACGUCACGGACUUGUUGAAAAGCGGCUCAUUCGAAGCGAAUACACUGCAGCGGGCGGUACAGGGGAUCUCGAGAGGGAUCCGGUGUACGCCGAGAUACUUUCGCGGGGACGUAGGUACACACCGAUUCUUCUCUCGAUUCUUUUUUUUUUUUUUUUGCACCUGAGACGAAGAGUACGUCCGACUCACGGUGAAAAUAAUCAUUUUUGGUAUCCGCGUCGCGCAUAAAGU